GCUGGGCGUGGUGGCGCAUGCCUGUAAUCCCAGCUACUCGGGAGGCUGAGACAGAAGAAUUGCUUGAACCCGGGAGGUGGAGAUUGCAGGUGAGCCAAGAUCGUGCCACUGCACUCCAGCCUGGGUGACAGAGCGAGACUCGGUCUCAA
ensembl:misc_RNA Metazoa_SRP Metazoan signal recognition particle RNA